AACAACUAUACUAUAAAAAUGUGAGAGAACAUCUCUCAUGAAGUAAAUGCUCACUGCAGCAGUCACAAUUAUUUGUGAGCUGAAGUGUUGAUAAAAUGCCUUAUUUGCACCUGAAGUCAAGUAAGAUGACCCGCUGGACUUAAGCAUAUUACUAAGCGGAGGAGAAGAAAUUAACAAAGAUUGCCUUAGUAAGGGCGACUGAACCGGCAAGAGCUCAAAAUUGGAAUCGAAAGUUCAAAGAAUUUUCGAAUUGUAAUCAGGUACACCUAAAUACGGGAAUUCGCUUAAGUACGUCGAAACGUACGCCAAGGAGGGUGAAAGCCCCGUGUAGCGUGUUCUCGAGUAAGGUGCGCUCUACAAGAGUCGGGUUGCCUGGAACUGCAGCCCUAAGCGGGAGAUAUGAAUCUUCCAAAGCUAAAUAUGGAUGGGAGACCGAUAGCGAACAAGUACUGUGAAGGAAAGAUGAAAAGGACUUUGAAAAGAGAGUGAAAAGAUCUGAAAUCGUUGAGAAGGAAGCGGUAGAAACUGAUGGUCGUGCUGAUGGUUAUCGGGGUGAACAACUCCGCAGUACCUACCAGAGCGACGGGCAAAAUGAAGUAGAACGCAUCAAAAAAGGCUUCAGCCGAAUAGGGUGUAAUCUGCUUGAGGGACUAAUGUGAUUUUGCCAAAAUGGUUUCUACUGUCCCGUCUUGAAACACGGACCAAGGAGUCUAACCUAUAUGCGAGUGUGCGAGUGGAGAAACUCAUACGCGGAAUGAAAGUAAAAGGUGCGCAGCGCAAGCAGCAGCAUCGACCGACCCAGGAAGAAGGGUUUGAGUAAGAGCAUAUAUGUUAGGACCCGAAAGAUGGUGAACUAUGCCUGAGUAGGGUGAAGUCAGGGGAAACCCUGAUGGAGGCUCGUAGCGCUGUUGACGUGCAAAUCACUCGUCAAACUUGGGUAUAGGGGCGAAAGACUAAUCGAACCAUCUAGUAGCUGGUUCCCUC
rnacentral:misc_RNA from 1 species